GAUGAACGCUGGCGGCGUGCCUAAUACAUGCAAGUCGAACGCUGGAAAUCUAGCUUGCUAGAUUGAAGGAGUGGCGAACGGGUGAGUAAUACAUAAGCAACCUACCCACGAAGACUGGGAUAAUCUCUGGAAACGGGGACUAAUACCGGAUAGGUAAUCGGAAGGCAUCUUCUGAUUAUUAAAGGUUAAAAACACUGGUGGAUGGGCUUAUGGCGCAUUCGUUAGUUGGUGAGGUAACGGCCCACCAAGACGAUGAUGCGUAGCCGGCCUGAGAGGGUGAACGGCCACAUUGGGACUGAGACACGGCCCAGACUCCUACGGGAGGCAGCAGUAGGGAAUUUUCGGCAAUGGGGGAAACCCUGACCGAGCAACGCCGCGUGAGUGAUGACGGCCUUCGGGUUGUAAAGCUCUGUUGUAAGGGAAGAACGGUAGAUAGAGAAUAUCUAAAUGACGGUACCUUACCAGAAAGCCACGGCUAACUACGUG
rnacentral:rRNA from 1 species